rnacentral:lncRNA from 1 species
UUUCCUUGAGUUCGCUGCGUUUUCUGCGCGCUUGGUUUGCCUCGCUGUGACUUCUUUGGUAUAUUCGCACUUGUUUCUCGCAUUUUAUGGGCUUCUUGUUGCCUCGAAGAUCACCAUGAUCGCCUCCGACUCAGCCACAUCAAAGAUUCAAAAUGAACCUGGAGACACCACAACCAUUCCGGAACGCGAAAGGUUCACAUAGGUUGGAGGAGUGCUCGUUAAGAGAUGGUCCUGGCUACAGCUUACCAUAGCCUGCCACGGUGGACCAGGCAAGUUUGCAGGGGUCUUGCUUCACCGUACGCUCACAGAGGAGGACUCACUCUUUGGAAACAACACC